rnacentral:rRNA from 1 species
UACGGAGGGGGCUAACGUUGUUCGGAAUCACUGGGCGAAUAGCGCACGUAGGCGGGUCAGCAAGUCAGGGGUGAAAUCCCGGGGCUCAACCUCGGAACUGCCUUUGAAACUGCUGGCCUGGAGGUCGAGAGAGGUGAGUGGAAUUCCUAGUGUAGAGGUGAAAUUCGUAGAUAUUAGGAAGAACACCAGUGGCGAAGGCGGCUCACUGGCUCGAUUCUGACGCUGAGGUGCGAAAGCGUGGGGAGCAAACAGG